rnacentral:rRNA from 1 species
GAUGAACGCUGGCGGCGUGCCUAAUACAUGCAAGUCGAACGCUGAAGGAAGGAGCUUGCUCUUUCCGGAUGAGUUGCGAACGGGUGAGUAACGCGUAGGUAACCUGCCUGGUAGCGGGGGAUAACUAUUGGAAACGAUAGCUAAUACCGCAUAACAGGAGAUGUUGCAUGAUAUCUACUUAAAAGGUGCAAUUGCACCACUACCAGGUGGACCUGCGUUGUAUUAGCUAGUUGGUGAGGUAACGGCUCACCAAGGCGACGAUACAUAGCCGACCUGAGAGGGUGAUCGGCCACACUGGGACUGCGACACGGCCCAGACUCCUACGGGAGGCAGCAGUAGGGAAUCUUCGGCAAUGGACGGAAGUCUGGCCGAGCAACGCCGCGUGAGUGAAGAAGGGUUUCGGAUCGUAAAGCUCUGUUGUAAGAGAAGAACGAGUGUGAGAGUGGAAAGUUCACACUGUGACGGUAGCUUACCAGAAAGGGACGGCUAACUACGUG